CAGUAGCCGCGGGAAUACAGAGGGUGCGAGCGUUAAUCGGAUUUACUGGGCGUAAAGCGUGCGUAGGCGGCUUUUUAAGUCGGAUGUGAAAUCCCUGAGCUUAACUUAGGAAUUGCAUUCGAUACUGGGAAGCUAGAGUAUGGGAGAGGAUAGUAGAAUUCCAGGUGUAGCGGUGAAAUGCGUAGAGAUCUGGAGGAAUACCGAUGGCGAAGGCAGCCAUCUGGCCUAAUACUGACGCUGAGGUACGAAAGCAUGGGGAGCAAACAGGAUUAGAUACCCCUGUAGUCCCUGUCUCUUAUAC
rnacentral:rRNA from 1 species